CUGGUGAUGUCCAUGUGUAGAGUCUUCUCUUAUGUUGUUGGAAGAAGGUGUUUGCUAUGACCCUCGCCUUGGCAAAACUUUAUUAGCCUUUGCCCUGCUUCAUUCUGUAAUGAAUUCAUUCUCUAUCAGUACCUUCCUGUCACACACACGUAAAAUUGCAGUUGAAAUUUCACAAAGUAAUACCUUGGGCGAUGAAGAUAGGCUGGCUCCAAAGUCCAGUACAAUGUCCACCACCAGGACAGAUGCUAGUUACUACUCACUCACUAUGUGUUACUAUCCUAACUGUGUGAUGCUCGCCUCACAUUUUCUGGUGAACUACAGGAAAGGAGUCAGGUACCCCUGGCUAGAAAUCACAUAAAAUAAAAUGCUUAAUAGAAGAAAGACACCUAGGCCCAACAAGCUUUAUGAUGAAUAGGGGAAAGAAGCAAAUAUAUAUCCAGUGCAUAACUGUUUUACUUAUUUAGUGAGAUGGCACAGGAGAAUUGUUUUUUCUAUAUAUUCAUAUGUGUAUUUUUAUGUAGAGUUUAAUACAAUUCAGUCAUGAAAAUUUCUAUAUAUACAUUCAUAUUCUACAUUAUGUAUUUUAAGUUCAGUGGAACCUAUAAAAUUACUAAAAGAACUGAAAGUGAAUGUCACUCUGUCGUGUCAGACUCUCUGCGACCCCAUGGACUAUAGUCCAAAAUACUGGAGUGUGUAGCUGUUUCCUUAUCCAAGGGAUCUUCCCAACCCAGGGAUCAAACCUGGGUCUCCCGCAUUGCAGGUGGAUUCUUUACUAGCUGAGCCAUCAGGGAAGCCCAAGAAUACUGGAGUGGGUGGCCUAUCCCUUCUCCAGCGGAUCUUCCUGACCCAGAAAUCGAACCAGGGUGUCUUUCAUUGCAGGCAGAUUCUUUACCAGCUGAACUACCCGGGAAGCCCUAAUAUAAAUAAAUAAAUCACUAGAGAGGGAAGCAAUUUUCAUCAAUACAGUUUUCCUAGUUUCUUGAUUUUAAAUUUUAUUUUUUUUAUAGUAAGAAGCUUUUGUGUCCAACUAUUUUACCCUCCUGAAGUGGAAGUUCUUCCCCCUGGCCAGAUGUGUUCUUAGGAAAAGCUGUAGAAAACGGAUCCACCGCAGCGCUGUUUUUCUCAAAUGUGCCUCUUUUGCGGAUUAGUGGAGCUUUGGUGCCCCCUGGUAGCAGAACUGAGAAAAACAAGUAACAGGUCUCCCGCAGUUCGUGCGUUGCUGUCUGUGGACCUCUGCCCUCCAGAAAAUUCUGAAUUUUGGGUUUGAUUACUGCUCACAUUUAGGUUUUAACUCACU
ensembl:lncRNA